rnacentral:lncRNA from 10 species
AAGUUGUUUGAGCAAUAGUUAGAACUUUUCUUCAGGAAAAGAUUCUCCUGUGGCACACCUCAAACGAAUUACUUUCAGAACCCUAGCACUUACAUUUGGAAAAUCACUUCAGUUAUCUAGUGACCACUACAGUUUGGAAAAUGAAUAACACUUUCCAAAAAAUAAAUUUCAAAAUAUCAGCAAGUUGAGUACCUACCACAUAUCUCUUACUAUUCUCUUAUACUAAGAAGCAGAUCCUGAUAGGAAGAUAACCUGUUAAAACAGAAAUGAGGUUUACUGACUUUUGUGUGUCUUGUGUGUUCAAAUAAAAGGAUGAGUUUUAUAGGGGCAGUAGUAGUUUGUUUGUCACGGAUACAAAGGGAGCAGGAAAUAUGUUUUAGUGGCAUGCCCAAUGUACGGUAGUUUCUAUAAAUUAUGGACAUUUUCUAAUCACGUUUUUUUUUUGAGUCAUGUUUUUUCCUCGGUUGCUUCUGACUAGAGAGCUUCACAAUAACUUUCU